CUAUAGAUUAUAGAUGCCAAAUUCUAAUCUUUGCAAGACUUGAAUUAUGUGCUCUUCUCAUUAUCUGGUUUCUUUGCAGAUUGCCCCUUAUGAUCAGUUGCAAACGAUAGAGCGCUUAGUUGAUGUUCCUCAACCUACUCCUGCCUAGGCAUAAUUAAAUGAAAAUUGGAUGGUGAUUAUAUUUUGAACAUUCUUAAUACAUACCAAAUGCGCACUAAAAAGAUCAUUAAGUGUCUUUAA